rnacentral:rRNA from 1 species
GACGAACCGUGCAAACGUUGUUCGGAAUCACUGGGCUUAAAGGGCGUGUAGGCGGUAUGUUAAGUCUGGCGUGAAAGCUCUCGGCUAAACCGGGAGAGGUCGUUGGAUACUGACACACUAGAGGAUGGUAGAGGCGUGUGGAAUUCCGGGUGUAGUGGUGAAAUGCGUAGAGAUCCGGAGGAACACCAGUGGCGAAGGCGACACGCUGGGCCAUACCUGACGCUAAAGCGCGACAGCAUGGGGAGCAAACGGG